UACGUAGGGUGCGAGCGUUAAUCGGAAUUACUGGGCGUAAAGCGUGCGCAGGCGGUUUUGUAAGCCAGAUGUGAAAUCCCCGGGCUUAACCUGGGAAUGGCAUUUGGGACUGCAAGGCUCGAGUGCGGCAGAGGAGACUGGAAUUCCUGGUGUAGCAGUGAAAUGCGUAGAUAUCAGGAGGAACACCGAUGGCGAAGGCAGGUCUCUGGGCUGACACUGACGCUCAUGCACGAAAGCGUGGGGAG
rnacentral:rRNA from 1 species